rnacentral:piRNA from 1 species
UAAGAAGAGACAGACUAGAAAAAGAUGACU